AACGAACGUUGGCGGCGUGGAUUAGGCAUGCAAGUCGAGGGCGAAAGGGGGCAACUCCGAUCGACCGGCGUAAGGGGUAGUAAGGCGUGGGUAACCAACCCUCCGGAUGGGAAUAGCUUCGGGAAACUGAAGGUAAUACCCAACGACGUUGCCGAGAGGCAUCUUUUGGCAACCAAAGGUGUGAUUCCGCCGGAGGACGGGCUCACGUGGUAUUAGCUAGUUGGUAGGGUAAUGGCCUACCAAGGCAUCGAUGCCCAGGGGGUGUUAGCGCACGACCCCCACCCA
rnacentral:rRNA from 1 species